UCAACCAGCCUCUGUUGCAACAGUUUCAGGAGUUCUACCAUCGUCAUGAUACUUUCAGUCUUGGUGUCUGUAACGGUUGUCAGCUCAUGGCACUCCUCGGCUGGGUACCUGGAGGUGAUGUUGGAGGAGCGCUCGGUGCUGGUGGGGAUGUAUCGCAACCAAGGUUUGUUCACAAUGAGUCUGGCCGGUUUGAGUGUCGCUUCACAAGUGUUCGGAUUCAGGAUUCUCCAGCGAUAAUGUUCAAAGGAAUGGAGGGUAGUACGUUGGGUGUGUG
rnacentral:misc_RNA from 1 species